UUUUGAUUAUAAUUUAAAGUCUAACCUGCCCUAUGAUUUAUUAUUAAAUGGCCGCGAUAUUCUGAUCGUGCAAAGGUAGCAUAAUAAUUAGUUUUUUAAUUGAGAACUGGUAUGAAUGGUUGAACGAGAAAAAAACUGUCUCAAUUUAAUUUUAAUUAGAAUUUUAUUUUUAAGUUAAAAAGCUUAAAUAUUUUUAAAAGACGAGAAGACCCUAUAGAGUUUUAUAUAAAUUAUUAUUUUAAAAAAUUUUAGAAUUUUAAAUUUAAUUAUAAUAAUUUAUAUUUGAUUGGGGUGAUUAGAAAAUUAAAAGAACUUUUUUUAAAUUUAAACAUAAAUUUAUGAAUAGAUGAUCC
rnacentral:rRNA from 1 species